rnacentral:rRNA from 1 species
UACGAAGGAUGCAAGCGUUAUCCGGAUUCAUUGGGUUUAAAGGGAGCGUAGGUGGCCCUAUAAGUCAGUGGUGAAAUCUCUCGGCUUAACCGAGAAAUUGCCAUUGAUACUGUAGGGCUUGAGUAUAGUUGCCGUUGGCGGAAUAUGACAUGUAGUGGUGAAAUACAUAGAGAUGUCAUAGAACACCGAUUGCGAAGGCAGCUGACGAAACUAUAACUGACACUGAGGCUCGAAAGUGCGGGGAUCAAACAGG